rnacentral:rRNA from 1 species
CAGUCGCCACGGUAAUACGUAGGGUGCAAGCGUUAAUCGGAAUUACUGGGCGUAAAGCGUGCGCAGGCGGUUAUAUAAGACAGAUGUGAAAUCCCCGGGCUCAACCUGGGAACUGCAUUUGUGACUGUAUAGCUAGAGUACGGCAGAGGGGGAUGGAAUUCCGCGUGUAGCAGUGAAAUGCGUAGAUAUGCGGAGGAACACCGAUGGCGAAGGCAAUACCCUGGGCCUGUACUGACGCUCAUGCACGAAAGCGUGGGGAGCAAACAGGAUUAGAUACCCCUGUAGUCCCUGUCUCUUAUAA